UAACAUUGAUGGUUUUAUACCCAAACCAUCCGCCUGGGGACUACGAGCAAUAGCUUAAAACCCAAAGGACUUGGCGGUGCUUUAGACCCCCCUAGAGGAGCCUGUUCUAGAACUGAUAACCCCCGUUUAACCUCACCAUCCUUUGUUUACCCCGCCUAUAUACCACCGUCGUCAGCUUACCCUGUGAAGGGAAAAUAGUAAGCACAAAUGGCAAAGCCAAAAACGUCAGGUCGAGGUGUAGCGAAUGGGAUGGGAAGAAAUGGGCUACAUUCUCUAUAAUAGAGAAUACGAAUUGUAAUUUGAAAAAAUUACCUGAAGGAGGAUUUAGCAGUAAGUAGGGACUAGAGUGCCCU
rnacentral:rRNA from 1 species